UACGUAGGGGGCUAGCGUUGUCCGGAAUCAUUGGGCGUAAAGCGCGCGUAGGCGGCCCGGUAAGUCCGCUGUAAAAGUCAAAGGCUCAACCUUUGAAUGUCAGUGGAUACUGCCGGGCUAGAGUCCGGAAGAGGCGAGUGGAACUCCUGGUGUAGCGGUGAAAUGCGCAGAUAUCAGGAGGAACACCGAUUGCGAAGGCAGCUCGCUGGGACGUUACUGACGCUGAGACGCGAAAGCGUGGGGAGCAAACAGG
rnacentral:rRNA from 1 species